CUGGCUCAGGAUGAACGCUAGCUACAGGCUUAACACAUGCAAGUCGAGGGGCAGCAUGGUCUUAGCUUGCUAAGGCUGAUGGCGACCGGCGCACGGGUGAGUAACACGUAUCCAACCUGCCGUCUACUCUUGGACAGCCUUCUGAAAGGAAGAUUAAUACAAGAUGGCAUCAUGAGUCCGCAUGUUCACAUGAUUAAAGGUAUUCCGGUAGACGAUGGGGAUGCGUUCCAUUAGAUAGUAGGCGGGGUAACGGCCCACCUAGUCUUCGAUGGAUAGGGGUUCUGAGAGGAAGGUCCCCCACAUUGGAACUGAGACACGGUCCAAACUCCUACGGGAGGCAGCAGUGUGGAAUAUUGGUCAAUGGGCGAGAGCCUGAACCAGCCAAGUAGCGUGAAGGAUGACUGCCCUAUGGGUUGUAAACUUCUUUUAUAAAGGAAUAAAGUCGGGUAUGCAUACCCGUUUGCAUGUACUUUAUGAAUAAGGAUCGGCUAACUCCGUGCCAGCAGCCGCGGUAAUACGGAGGAUCCGAGCGUUAUCCGGAUUUAUUGGGUUUAAAGGGAGCGUAGAUGGAUGUUUAAGUCAGUUGUGAAAGUUUGCGGCUCAACCGUAAAAUUGCAGUUGAUACUGGAUAUCUUGAGUGCAGUUGAGGCAGGCGGAAUUCGUGGUGUAGCGGUGAAAUGCUUAGAUAUCACGAAGAACUCCGAUUGCGAAGGCAGCCUGCUAAGCUGCAACUGACAUUGAGGCUCGAAAGUGUGGGUAUCAAACAGGAUUAGAUACCCUGGUAGUCCACACGGUAAACGAUGAAUACUCGCUGUUUGCGAUAUACAGCAAGCGGCCAAGCGAAAGCGUUAAGUAUUCCACCUGGGGAGUACGCCGGCAACGGUGAAACUCAAAGGAAUUGACGGGGGCCCGCACAAGCGGAGGAACAUGUGGUUUAAUUCGAUGAUACGCGAGGAACCUUACCCGGGCUUAAAUUGCAGAUGAAUUACGGUGAAAGCCGUAAGCCGCAAGGCAUCUGUGAAGGUGCUGCAUGGUUGUCGUCAGCUCGUGCCGUGAGGUGUCGGCUUAAGUGCCAUAACGAGCGCAACCCUUGUUGUCAGUUACUAACAGGUUCCGCUGAGGACUCUGACAAGACUGCCAUCGUAAGAUGUGAGGAAGGUGGGGAUGACGUCAAAUCAGCACGGCCCUUACGUCCGGGGCUACACACGUGUUACAAUGGGGGGUACAGAGGGCCGCUACCACGCGAGUGGAUGCAAUCCCAAAAACUCUCUCAGUUCGGACUGGAGU
rnacentral:rRNA from 1 species